rnacentral:tRNA from 1 species
GUUGUGGCUCAGUGGCAGAGCGCUCACCUAGCACGUGUGAGGCCCUGGGUUCAAUCUUCAGCACCACA